UGUACACAAGAAGGUGGGGACAGUUUUCUAAUGUGUCUUAGUACAACCUGGAAUUUAUAACGAAUGGUUACAUUAGUUUCAACAAGGGCAGAAAACAACUACAACAAGGCUAUCGAGUUUAUGAGGAGCUUGUCCUGACAUAUUCAUUUCACCAUACUCACGAUGACAUAAGUUGGAAACAGAUCUGAAAUGUCAAUAUGAAUCGGAGUGAAAGGAUUUCUUCUGAUCUCAAUUAUGGAUUUCAUUUGCUUUAUACACAGUUGACCCAUGGCAUCUGUAACAGUCAUGUGAGGCACAGGUCAGUAAGGUGUCUACAGUGCUUCAAUUCACUCUGCAGAGUUGCUUCCCUUUGGCGGACCAGGAUCCUAUGAUUCUUAGUUUGAAUCCAGUUUCUCUGACUGUGUUUCUUGGAUUGUGAGCAGGAUGUUUGGGUUUCACACCAAGUUAACUAUUUGGAAUUCUUCCAAAAUGGCUUUAAAUUAAAAAUCACUUUAAAAUAACUCACCCUGUCCAGUUGUCUGAACUGCUGUUGGAGUGACAGCUGUCAGUGUGGUGAUUCCUCAGUGUUGUACAUUGUCCUAUUGAAUCAAAGAUUCACAUGAAGUGUGUAGCAGUACUUCAGCGAGUGGGAAAUGGUCCAGUCUCUCGCCCAGACACCAGCAAGUAUAGUAAUUUAGUGAAUAGUGAAUAUGCUCAAGCCAAAAUAUUUUUUUCAAGCACAUAUUGACUCAGUCCUUGAAAUUAGAACUAUUCUGUGCUCCAUUUAGAUUUUAUGCUAUCAUUUUUGUAGAUAAUCAUUUUUAAAUGAGAUCUGGACUAUCAGUAAAUGUUUAUCUACAAACGAAUGUAGUAUUUUCUGUUUUCCUAGGUAAAGUGAGUGAGUGAGGUUUUUUUUACGCUGCUUUUAGAAAUAUUCGAGCAACAUCACGGUGGGGGACACCAGAAAUGGGCUUCACACAUUGUACCCAUGUAGGGAAUCGAACCCGGGUCUUCGACGUGACGGGCCAACGCUUUUACCCACUAGGCUACCCCACCAGCCCUCCCAGGUAGAACCCCUGCCUAGUUUCUUUUCGGGUUUUUUCAUAAUGAAGGAUGCAUUUGUGACGAUGAGUUAGUCACAGUGUUGUCGAGUUUACAUUUAGUGUACCCAAUCAUGCAACUUAUGUCUGAAUGUAGAAAUGUUUAACAUGCUAUAGGUGGGGUUUGAGGUGAUGGGAUUUCUUGCAUCUGCAAGUGGAAUCCCACUGACCACCGAGGAUGGCUUCCAAACAUUGGCAGAUUUAGUGAAGAGUAGUAGGUGUAAAACACCUUGAUACCAUCUGCCUGAGUGAAUAAUUGUGUUAAUCCCGCUGUAAACAGUAUUCAGCUCAACUGUCUUUAGGGAUACCUUGGCAAUAAUGGAACAACAGGGAUAUCCCUGUUUGAAGUUGAGUAGUAUAAACAUUGUGACGGACCAUUGAUAUUCUUGUGGGACGUUUUUGUUAAAAAGACAAUUUGUACCAGAAUAUCCAAGGAAUAGACAAUUGUUUUAACUUCUUUUUUUUCAAAACAGUAGUUUAGACAGUUACUGAAAAAAUAUCCAAAUCAAAAUAUGAGCAUGUCUCCCUCCAGGAUAUUCCUGGUCUGGUCAAUAAGGCGUCUAUGAGAGAGGGAGUCCUGUCUUAUAGAGAAGGCUGUUAUUGUUGAUACAGUUCCUGGUCUGGCCAAUAAGGUGUCUAUGAGAGAGGGAGUCCUGUCAUAUAGAGAAGGCUGUUAUUGUUGAUACAGUUCCUGGUCUGGCCAAUAAGGUGUCUAUGAAAGAGGGAGUCCUGUCUUAUAGAGAAGGCUGUUAUUGUUGAUACAUUUCCUGGUCUGGCCAAUAAGGCGUCUACGAGAGAGGGAGUCCUGUCUUAUAGAGAAGGCUGUUAUUGUUGAUACAGUUCCUGGUCUGUCCAAUAAGGCGUUUAUGAGAGAGGGAGUCCUGUCUUAUAGAGAAGGCUGUUAUUGUUGAUACAGUUCCUGGUCUGGCCAAUAAGGUGUCUAUGAGAGAGGGAGUCCUGUCUUAUAGAGAAGGCUGUUAUUGUUGAUACAGUUCCUGGUCUGGCCAAUAAGGUGUCUAUGAGAGAGGGAGUCCUGUCUUUAUAGAGAAGGCUGUUAUUGUUGAUACAGUUCCUGGUCUGGCCAAUAAGGUGUCUAUGAGAGAGGGAGUCCUGUCUUUAUAGAGAAGGCUGUUAUUGUUGAUACAUUUCCUGGUCUGGCCAAUAAGGUGUCUAUGAGAGAGGGAGUCCUGUCUUUAUAGAGAAGGCUGUUAUUGUUGAUACAGUCACAAUUAUUGCUGUUUGUAUAUAGUAGUUGUUGUUAGUUUAUUCCAGAGAACCACAAGCAUGACCUUUUUUGUAUAUUAUGAAGUAAAAUGUUAUUGUAUUCACUAAUUGAAUAAUUUUGUGCUCUGUUACAAAUGUACCAUCUGAACUGACAAACAAUAAACAAAAGGACAAAUA
rnacentral:lncRNA from 1 species